UUGCAGGAGAUUAGCUUGUACAGUGGU
rnacentral:piRNA from 1 species